UACGAAGGGUGCAAGCGUUACUCGGAAUUACUGGGCGUAAAGCGUGCGUAGGUGGUUUGUUAAGUCUGCUGUGAAAGCCCCGGGCUCAACCUGGGAAUGGCAGUGGAUACUGGCAAGCUAGAGUGCGGUAGAGGGGUGUGGAAUUCCCGGUGUAGAGGUGAAAUUCGUAGAUAUCGAGAGGAAUACCUGUGGCGAAGGCGGCCAACUGGACGAGUACUGACGCUGAGACACGAAAGCGUGGGGAGCAAACAGG
rnacentral:rRNA from 1 species